rnacentral:lncRNA from 1 species
GUCAAUCAGUGGGGUCAGUCAGUGGGGUCAGUGGGAUCUAUGGGGUCAGUGGGGUGUAUGGGGUCAGUCAGUGGGGUCAGUGGGAUCUGUGGGGUCAGUGGGGCAAUCAGUGGGGUCAGUGGGAUCUAUGGGUGGGGUGUAUGGGGUCAGUGGGGUCGAUGGGGUCAGUCAAUGGGGUCAGUGGGGUGUAUGGGGUCAGUCAGUGGGGUCAGUGGGAUCUAUGGGGUCAGUGGGUUUUAUGGGGUCAAUCAGUGGGGUCAGUGGGGUGUACGGGGUCAAUCAAUGGGGUCAGUCAGUGCGGUCAGUGUGAUCUAUGGGGUCAGUGGGGUGUAUGGGGUCAAUCAAUGGGGUCAGUCAGUGGGGUCAGUGGGAUCUAUGGGGUCAGUGGGAUCUAUGGGGUCAGUCAAUGGGGUCAGUGGGGUGUAUGGGGUCAAUCAGUGGGGUCAGUGGGAUCUAUGGGGUCAGUGGGGCAAUCAGUGGGGUCAGUGGGGUGUAUGGGGUCAGUCAGUGGGGUCAGUGGGGCAAUCAGUGGGGUGUAUGGGGUCAGUGGGGUCUAUGGGGCCAAUCAAUGGGGUCAGUGGGUUUUAUGGGGUCAAUCAGUGGGGUCAGUGGGAUCUAUGGGGUCAGUCAGUGGGGUCAGUGGGAUCUAUGGGGUGAGUGGGGUGUAUGGGGUCAGUCAAU